rnacentral:rRNA from 1 species
ACUACGGGAGGCAGCAGUGGGGGAUAUUGCACAAUGGGGGAAACCCUGAUGCAGCGACGCCGCGUGGGCGAAGAAGUAUUUCGGUAUGUAAAGCCCUAUCAGCAGGGAAGAAGAAAUGACGGUACCUGAGUAAGAAGCACCGGCUAAAUAAGAGCCAGCAGCCGCGGUAAUACGGAGGAUGCGAGCGUUAUCCGGAUGUAUUGGGUUUAAAGGGUGCGUAGGCGGGCUGGUGAGUCAGCGGUAAAAGGCAGGGGCUAAACCCCGGCGAGCCGUUGAAACUGGCUGUCUUGAGAUGUCGAGAGGUAUGCGGAAUGCGCGGGGUAGCGGUGAAAUGCUUAGAUAUUGCGCAGAACUCCGAUUGCGAAGGCAGCAUACCGGCGGCGAUCUGACGCUGAGGCACGAAAGCGUGGGUAUCGAACAGGAUUAGAUACCCUUGUAGUC